GCUCCAUGUUCUCCUUGGUCUCUAUGGUCUCCAUGUGCUCCACAGUCUCUGUGUGUUCCAUGUUCUCUGUGUGCUCCAUGGUCUCCACACACCCCACAUGUUCCAUGUUCUCCAUGUGCUCCAUGGUCUCCACACACUCCACAUGUUCCAUGAGCUCCACGUUCUCCAUGGGCUCUGGCAGAGGGGGCAGGGCUGAGCCCCUGGGGCUCUGGGGUUUAUUUGAUGCCCCCUGAGCUGUCGGGGGGUGUGGGGCUGUAUCAAAGCCAGGCUUAGCGUGGGCUCAGACUGAGGGGGCCAGGCAGGGGUUAAGUGAAGCCCGAGGGCUCCAGCAGUUCGGGGCUGAGCUUUUCCCUGCCAGCAAAUCCCACUUCAGAAAGAUUCCCCCCACACAGCCAACUUUUGGCCCUGGAGAUGGGUUUGCCAUGAAAUCCCCAGGCCAGUGACAAGGAGCCCAAAUUCCCAGUUGCAGGACCAUUUUCCACUCCUAUUAGUGAUGGGAAACCUGGAAAAACUCUCCGGGCUUCCCAAAGAUGGGAACACCAGGAAAGGGAAGGGAAUCAAGCACCUGGAGGAUCACAAACAUCCCUUUAUCUCCGGGUUGUCUCAUGUGGAAUUGGCAGCUGGGCCGGCUCCAAACGCCUGUGCGAAGUUGGAAUUCCUGAAAGACUUUUCAAGGGGUGAGAGCUGCAUUCCACGGUCUGGCAGCACCCCCGGCCCCGCUCCUGGAGCGGGAGACAAAAGGGAAUGAGGCUUGGAGAGCGAGUUCCCAACGAGAUCCGUGGAUGUGACACCCCUGUGGCUGGAAAACCCCGCUCCUUUUCCUUUUAAAGGAGUUGGAGGAGCAAAAGAACGGGAAUCUAGCCCAGCUUUCCUGCAUAUUCAAGCAGCAUUUCUCCCUCUAGGCCACGGGCUCGUGCACAGGGAAGCAGAACAAAGGGAAAACAAAACUGCUGUGAACUGGGAUGAACUUCCAGCCAAAGUCAGGAGAAGGAAUUCCAGCUUUUGGGAGCUGCUUGGUGUGGUGUCCACUGGUCCUGACUCUUGGCCAGCUCAGCUUUACAUGGACUCGUAGUCAAUAAAUUCCUACCCUGAAUUCCUGGUGGGCUCUGGUGCCAGUUUGGAAAGGGUGGUGGAGCUGGUAGGACACUCCUAUGUCCAGCUGUUCCUGGCUUUGGAAUCCAGCUGGAAUAAAGUUUGUCAUCCACAUGCUGCCACCUGGGAUCGAGGUGAAGGUGCCUCCAACAGGGAAUGUUUGGUUUCUCCCAGGGCAAACACAGAAAUUCCAUACAAAUAGUGCUCCAGACAGUAAAAUUCUCAGGAAAUAGAGCUGGACUUAAUCCUUAACCAACAUUCCUGCUCGUGUGGAGAAGGAUGUCCCAAGGGAAUUUCCUGUAAUCUCAGUAAGAAACAACCCUGAGCUCCAGAGCUUGGUUUCCUACAUGGAUUUCUUGCCCUUCUGAGGCUUUGACGUUCAGGAGGUGCAAACUCUGCCUUCAUUUUCCUCCCUGAUGAAGCACCU